AGGAAGCACCGGCUAACUCCGUGCCAGCAGCCGCGGUAAUACGGAGGGUGCAAGCGUUGUUCGGAAUUAUUGGGCGUAAAGCGCGUGUAGGCGGAUGAAUAAGUCAGGUGUGAAAUCCCUUGACUCAAUCAAGGAACUGCACUUGAAACUAUUUGUCUCGAGUACGAUAGGGGAGGGCGGAAUUCCCAGUGUAGAGGUGAAAUUCAUAGAUAUUGGGAGGAACACCAGUGGCGAAGGCGACCCUCUGGAUCGAUACUGACGCUGAGACGCGAGAGCGUGGGUAGCAAACAGGAUUAGAUACCCUGGUAGUCCACGCUGUAAACGAUGUGCACUAGGUGUUGGAGGUGCUUAAUCCUUCAGUGCCGCAGCUAACGCA
rnacentral:rRNA from 1 species